rnacentral:lncRNA from 1 species
CACCGACUGAUUUUCUAUGGAAAGCCUACGUCACCGUGGUAUCGAUUACUGUUCAACCCACCAUAUCGGAAGAUCUGGCGCUGUUAUGGUAAACGACUUCAUUUAAACAACCUCAUUAACACUCUAAUUAACGCCACUGACCCACUCCUCCCACUAUGUAUCGUUCAAUACACCUCCCUGUCCUUCCAUGUUAUGAAUCUUCACCUAUAAAUAUGGGAGUUUCUUUUGUUGAAAUUCAUCACUUUCUUCCUCUCAAUCACUAUAAUCUUCACCCACCCAGAAACAACUAUGGAAACCUUCUCCCUUCAGCUCGCGGACUUGAAAGCCGGACUUUGUAGCAACACUGUCGAAGUCCCUCUGCUAAGAGUUUGGGGCCCCCCCCCCCCGGGUUCGACAUGCUACUUUCCGAUUUAAAGGUAAUUCCGGUGAUC